rnacentral:lncRNA from 1 species
AUAGGAAAAAGGAAAUAGAAAAAAUAAAACAACAAACUACAGAAGAAAUACGAAAAAUAGAAGAAACUAAAAAUAGUAGGAUUGCUGAAUUAGAAAAAGACCUACUACAAAUAUUAAAAGAGUUGUAUGAACAAAGACAAAAAGAAAAAGAAGAAAAAGAUAGAGAACAGAAAUUACUAAACGAGAUAAAUCAAUUUAAGGAAAAAUUAGAAAUAAAAAAUGAAGAAUUAGAAAUAAAUAAUAUAGAUAUUGAAGAGACAGAUAAUUAUGAGUCCGA